rnacentral:rRNA from 1 species
AGAAAAUAAGCUAUUAGGUGGAUGACUUGGCUCAAGCGCUGAAGAAGGGCGUGACAAGCUGCGAUAAGCUCUGGGUAGCCGCACGUAGGCUUUGAACCAGAGAUACCCUAAUGCGACUUCAGCAUUAAAUCCGAAAGGAUUGGGAACGCAGGGAAUUAAAACGUUUAAGUACCUGCAGGAGAAGAAAUCAAUUGAGAUGCUGUGAGUAACAGCGAGUGAAAACAGCGCAAGGCAAACUGAAUCCGCUGCAGAAAUGCGGAGGAGAUGUGGUGUUUGGUCCAUGUGUUAAAUUCCUAACCUGGAAAGUUAAAGUUGGCUGGAAAGCCGCGCCGUAGAGUGUGAUAGCCACGUAGACGUAACUGGGGAGGAGCUAGCAUGGUAAUCAGAGUACCGUUAACCGGAUACUUAACGGGAAUGCGGGAGGCAUCAACUUCCAACCUUAAAUACGUCUUGAGUCCGAUAGCAAACUAGGGUACAGUGAUGGAAAGUUGAAAAGAACCCUUAGCAGGAAGUAAAAAGAACCUGAAACCUAAUAGCAAUAGUCGGACACAGCGAUGAGUUGUGUCAUACGUUUCGAAUAACGUGCCAGGGAGUUUAUUCGAGUGGCAAGGGUAAUUCUUUAAAGGAAGCACCCGAAGCGAAAGCAACAUGCGCGCAAUUUAUGAGGCGCGUCGUAUGAAAAUGCGAGAAGUCACUCGGAUACGACCCGAAGCCAGACGAUCUAGCCCUUGGUAAGGUGAAGCCCGGGUAAAACCGGGUGGAGGCCUGUAGGGGUUCUACGAGCAAGUGUUCCUCUAACCUUGGGCUAGGGGUGAAAAGCCCAUCGAGUUUGGCGAUAGCUGGUUCCUAUCGAAGUUGGCCGCAGUCAAGCCUUGAGUAAGACAAUUAGAAUGGUAGAGCUACGGAUCAGGAGCUUAGGACCCGAAAGGGUUCGGCUCCUUGUCCAACUCCGAAUAAUCUAAUGUCAAAGAUCUCAAGAGACGGGGAAUGUUGGGGUAAACUUCAUUUCCGAGAGGGGAACAACCCAGACUAUAGUUAAGGUCCCUAAAUGUCAGCUAAGUGUUAACGGGGUAAGAGCGUCUAUUGUCUAAGACAGAGAGGAGGUUGGCUUAGAAGCAGCCACCCUUUAAAAAGUGCGUAACAGCUUACUCUUCAAGAUAAUAGGCCUUGAAAAUGGACGGGGCUAAGUUGAUUACCGAUACUAUAGACAUGCCAAAAGCAUUGUGGUAGGUAGGUGUUCUGUGAGGGCAGAAGUGCCUUCGAGAGUUGGUAUCGACCUCGCAGAAAUAAGAAUCCUGGCGAUAGUAGGAUCAUAGAAGAGUGAGAAUCUCUUCCACUGAAAGGGCAAGGGUUCCUUGGCAAUGCAGAUCAGCCAAGGGUUAGUUGGUCCUAACAUCGCUCAUAAAUUGAGCUGAGGAAAGGGCAAGAGGUUAAUAUUCCUCUACUAUUCAGGUAUGUGCGGCAACGCAAUUUCUGUUUCUGACGCAUUGGAGUAGACUAACACAGAUUGCUUUUUGUGUCAACCAUUAUAAAUCAGGGGAGUAUCUUAACGAUGAGAACCUGAUUAAAGAUGGGAUGAGUACUCCUUUGGAGUAUUUAGUUGAUCUCUGGUGCCCCUGAAAAAGGAACAGAAGAAAAUCUUGGAUAACCAUACCCAGAACCAGCACAGGUGUCCCUAGGUGAGAAGCCUAAAGUGUGAAGGGUUAAUCCAAUUGAGGGAACUCGGCAAAUUAGCCCCGUACCUUCGGUAUAAGGGGUCCCUGCUAUUGUCUCGCAAGAGGCGACAGCAGGGUGCAAUGACAAAGGGAGCCCGACUGUUUAACAAAAACCUAACUGACUGCAAGCCUGUAAAGGUGUGUAUAGUCAGUGACACCUGCCCAGUGCCAGUAAUUCAAACUCGGUUCCAACUGAGCUAAGAUCUGGUAAACGGCGGGAGUAACUAUAACUCUCUUAAGGUAAAACAUUACGGUUGCCUUAUCAAAAUCUGGCUAUAUGCUGGAAAAUCUGAGAAUCUCACGCUACCACUGGACAUUUGUGGGUCAAAUAUUUAAACUAAGACUCACAAGCGCUUAGAGGUGAAAAUGUGAUGAGUGCAGAUAAUCAGCAGGAAAGAUUAGACCCAAAUUGGAUAACUGGCUUUGUUGAUGGAGAGGGUUGUUUUUAUGUCGGUAUAAACCAGCAUAAUAAAACCAAACAAUGGCAAUUGCUUCCAGAAUUCCAAAUUGUUCAACAUAAACGUGACGAACAAGUGCUUCACAGAAUCCAGAAAUUUUUUGGAUUUGGUGCGGUGACGAUAAAUCACGGCGACAGAAAAGAGUUUCGUGUCAGGGGUUUAGAGAACCUCAACAAAAUUGUUGAAUUCUUUAAGUUCUAUAAAUUUCAGACACUUUCAAAACAAAAAAGUUUUGAAGUCUUUUCAGAAAUUAUUAAGAUGAUGAACGGGAAGGAACAUCUAAGUGAUGAUGGAAGGAAAAAGAUUGCAAAUCUGAUAUCUACCAUUAACAAGAAGGUUAUUCCAAAAUAUCUAAUAUCCUCAGAGACCAUACGCCGGAACUUGGAAACAAGUAAGAUAUGGUCCGACCCACUAAGCGAUUAGUGGAGACAUGCAGAAAUGCAUGCCCGCUUUCAAAAGAAAGUCUUCAAGUAACAGAAGUGAGCGUAAUACCUUGUCGAUUGAAUGUCGACUUGCACGAGUGGUGUAACGAGGUUCCCCCUGUCCCCAGUUGGAUCCCUCCGAACACUCCUUCCUGGUGCAGAAGCCAGGGAUUUCCAGUGGGAAGUGAAGACCCCGUGAAACUUUACUGUAGCUUAUUGUUGCGGCGUGAGCUCUGUUGUGUAGUGUAGGUGGUAGUUUAGCCAAUCGCAAGAAAGGCUAAACGAAAAUGAAACACCACUCUUCGGAGCUUACGCUGCUAACUCAGCAAUGAGGACAGCAGUUGGUAGACAGUUUGGCUGGGGUGGCACCCUGUUGAAAAGAUACGGCGAAUGCGAGAUAUCGAGGAUAAAUUCACGCAUUGCUCGACUUUAUAUCAACAGGGCCCAAUGGUUGGCUCAAGCGGGUCAGCAAUCCGCUGUAGAGUGCAAGGGCAAAAGCCAGCCUGACAGGAUGACUAACAAUAUGGCAUCCUGAGUAGAAAUACUGGCCUAGCGAACCUCUAUGUCCUCCUUGAUGGGGGCUAGAGAUGACAGAAAAGUUACUCCGGGGAUAACAGAGUCGUCUCGCCCGAGAGUUCAUUGGUUAGGAAGGCGAAAAAUUGCAAUCAAAAAUUCAAUCCGUGAUUUGCUUCGCAAAUCACAGCAUAUACUCGCCGGCGAGGCUUGCUACAUCGAUGUCGGCUUUUCCUAUCCUGGCUGUGCAGAAGCAGCCAAGGGUGCGGGUGUUCACCGAUUAAAAGGGAUCAUGAGCUGGGUUCAGAACGCUGUGAGGCAGUUUGUUUAAUAUCUACUGGAAAUGCAGAUGUCAGAAAGGAAGGACUUUCUAGUACGAGAGGAACGGAAGUUCGGCGCCUCUGGUCCACCUGUUGUCCGGCAGGGCAGGCAGGGCAGCUACGCGCUAAGGGAUAAGUGCUGAAAGCAUCUAAGCACGAAACCCGCCUUGAAAAGAGACAUCAUAGGACACUUGUAAAACACAAGUUUGAUAGAAGCGGUGUGUAAGCACG